GACCGCGUAGCUCAGUUGGCAGAGCAUUGGGCUAGUAUUCCAAAGGUCGUAGGUUCGAUUCCCACCGUGCUCA
rnacentral:tRNA from 1 species